rnacentral:rRNA from 1 species
AUGCACGUGUCAAGCGUCGCAAAACCUUUGUCUUCUAAACCAAAUCCAUUCGAUUCUGACUCAGACUCUGAAUUUACCUCGAGGCCUGCAAGAGCAUCAUCUUCCAAUUCAGUUGAUCCUGGUGCCAAUGGCCGAUACAAGAAUGAGUUCCACGAUUCAGGCGGGUUCGAUAACCAAUCCGUGCAAGAGCUGGAGGUCUACGUUGCAUACAAGGCCGAGGAGACCACUCAAAAAGUGAACGUCUGCCUUCGGCUCGCUGAAAACAUCAAGGAGGAUGCUACCAACACUAUGAUCGCCUUGCACAAGCAGGGUCAACAGAUGAAUAGGACCCAUGAAACUGCUGCAAACAUUGACCAGGACCUUAGCAGGAGUGAGACACUUCUGGGAAGCCUUGGAGGGUUCUUCGCAAAAACCUGGAAGCCCAAGAAAACCAGGCAAAUAAAGGGAUCAUCAGUUAUCUCGAGAGAUGAUUCCUUCAAAAGAAGGGCUAACCACCUAGAGCAGAGAGAAAAAUUAGGAUUGUCUUCAAGCCCCAGAGGGAAGUCAGAUCCUCAAAAGUAUUCUGAUCCUACCAACGCCAUGGAGAAGGUUCAGGUGGAGAAAGAUAAUCAAGACAAUGCCCUUUCUGAUCUUAGCGAUGUCCUGGGACAGCUCAAGGGCAUGGCUCUCGAUAUGGGCUCAGAAAUCGACAUGUGGGAGAAAGGAGGAAUGGGGACACAACCAGAACAUACUAGAUCCAGGACACUUGAGGGCAGCCUGUCCACAGCUGAUAGGAGGAGGACGUGGUAG